rnacentral:misc_RNA from 1 species
CAGAGCUUCGAAGCCUGAGGGAAAGUAGCCGAAAGGUGCACUGCCCCUAGGAUUGAGAACUCCACCCUUUGUUUACAUUACCUUUGUUGCUUUAGCAGGCCCGCUCUCGGGCCGCCGGCUUAGGCUGGUCAGCGCCUGCUAGAGGACCUAAAACUCUUGUUAAUAUUAUUGUCUGAGUACUAUAUAAUAGUUA